rnacentral:rRNA from 1 species
AGAGUUUGAUCCUGGCUCAGGAUGAACGCUGGCGGCGUGCCUAAUACAUGCAAGUCGAGCGAACGGACGAGAAGCUUGCUUCUCUGAUGUUAGCGGCGGACGGGUGAGUAACACGUGGAUAACCUACCUAUAAGACUGGGAUAACUUCGGGAAACCGGAGCUAAUACCGGAUAAUAUUUUGAACCGCAUGGUUCAAAAGUGAAAGACGGUCUUGCUGUCACUUAUAGAUGGAUCCGCGCUGCAUUAGCUAGUUGGUAAGGUAACGGCUUACCAAGGCAACGAUGCAUAGCCGACCUGAGAGGGUGAUCGGCCACACUGGAACUGAGACACGGUCCAGACUCCUACGGGAGGCAGCAGUAGGGAAUCUUCCGCAAUGGGCGAAAGCCUGACGGAGCAACGCCGCGUGAGUGAUGAAGGUCUUCGGAUCGUAAAACUCUGUUAUUAGGGAAGAACAUAUGUGUAAGUAACUGUGCACAUCUUGACGGUACCUAAUCAGAAAGCCACGGCUAACUACGUGCCAGCAGCCGCGGUAAUACGUAGGUGGCAAGCGUUAUCCGGAAUUAUUGGGCGUAAAGCGCGCGUAGGCGGUUUUUUAAGUCUGAUGUGAAAGCCCACGGCUCAACCGUGGAGGGUCAUUGGAAACUGGAAAACUUGAGUGCAGAAGAGGAAAGUGGAAUUCCAUGUGUAGCGGUGAAAUGCGCAGAGAUAUGGAGGAACACCAGUGGCGAAGGCGACUUCCUGGUCUGUAACUGACGCUGAUGUGCGAAAGCGUGGGGAUCAAACAGGAUUAGAUACCCUGGUAGUCCACGCCGUAAACGAUGAGUGCUAAGUGUUAGGGGGUUUCCGCCCCUUAGUGCUGCAGCUAACGCAUUAAGCACUCCGCCUGGGGAGUACGACCGCAAGGUUGAAACUCAAAGGAAUUGACGGGGACCCGCACAAGCGGUGGAGCAUGUGGUUUAAUUCGAAGCAACGCGAAGAACCUUACCAAAUCUUGACAUCCUUUGACAACUCUAGAGAUAGAGCCUUCCCCUUCGGGGGACAAAGUGACAGGUGGUGCAUGGUUGUCGUCAGCUCGUGUCGUGAGAUGUUGGGUUAAGUCCCGCAACGAGCGCAACCCUUAAGCUUAGUUGCCAUCAUUAAGUUGGGCACUCUAAGUUGACUGCCGGUGACAAACCGGAGGAAGGUGGGGAUGACGUCAAAUCAUCAUGCCCCUUAUGAUUUGGGCUACACACGUGCUACAAUGGACAAUACAAAGGGCAGCGAAACCGCGAGGUCAAGCAAAUCCCAUAAAGUUGUUCUCAGUUCGGAUUGUAGUCUGCAACUCGACUACAUGAAGCUGGAAUCGCUAGUAAUCGUAGAUCAGCAUGCUACGGUGAAUACGUUCCCGGGUCUUGUACACACCGCCCGUCACACCACGAGAGUUUGUAACACCCGAAGCCGGUGGAGUAACCUUUUAGGAGCUAGCCGUCGAAGGUGGGACAAAUGAUUGGGGUGAAGUCGUAACAAGGUAGCCGUAUCGGAAGGUGCGGCUGGAUCACCU